rnacentral:rRNA from 1 species
UGGUAACAUGGAGCGAAUCUCAAAAAGAAUAGUCUCAGUUCGGACUGUGGGCUGCAACCCGCCCACACGAAGUUGGAGUUGCUAGUAAUCCCGAAUCAGCAUGUCGGGGUGAAUGCGUUCCCGGGUCUUGUACACACCGCCCGUCAAGCCAUGGGAGUUGGGAGUGCCCGAAGUCGGUGACCUAACCGUAAGGAAGGAGCCGCCUAAGGUAAUACCAAUGACUGGGGUUAAGUCGUAACAAGGUAGC